GUCUCCGUUGGUGAACCAGCGGAGGGAUC
rnacentral:rRNA from 1 species